AGAGUUUGAUCCUGACUCCGAAUGAAGGCUAGGUGUAUGCUUGACACAUGCGAGUCGAAUGUGAAAGUAAUUAUUAUAUUUGCAUGGCGUACGGGUGAGUAAGACUUGAGAAUUUGCCUAAUAAUCUGGAAUAAAUUAUAUUCUUUAAGAAUUUAUAGAUAGUUACCUAUCAUAUAAAGUAAUAAUACCAGAUAAUAAAUAAAGACUAAGUCGUUAUUAGAUAAGCUCAGGUAGGAUUAGGUAGUUGGUGUGGUAAAAGCGCACCAAGCCUAAGAUCCUUAGCUGGUCUGAGAGGAUGAUCAGCCACACUGGGACUGAGAUACGGCCCAGACUCCAUUAGGAGGCAGCAGUGAGGAAUAUUGGACAAUGAGCGAAAGCUUGAUCCAGCAAUACACCGUGAGUGAUGACAGCUUUUAGGUUGUAAAACUCUUUCAUCAAGGAAGAUAAUGACAUUACUUGAAAAAGAAGCCCCGGCAAAUUUCGUGCCAGCAGCCGCGGUAAUACGAAAGGGGCAAGUCUUAUUCGAAAUUAUUGGGCGUAAAGGGUAAGCAGGCGAUUUAUUAAGUUAUUUGUUAAAGGCCUUAGCCCAACUAAGGUAAAGCACUUAAUACUGAUAAAAUAGAAUAAGAUAGAGGAUAGUGGAAUUUCUAAAGGAGGAUUAAGCCCUGUAGAUAUUAGAAGGAACAUCAGUAGCGAAGGCGGCUAUCUGGAUCUUUAUUGACGCUGAGAUACUAAGGCGUAGGUAGCGAAUAGGAUUAGAUACCCUAGUAGUCUGCGCAGUCAACGAUGAGUGUUAAAUCUUGGUAAAUUCUAAUAAGUAGCUAGUAAUACUAUUUAAAAAGACUAGGUGAGUAUAAGAUUAAUUUUGAAUCUACCAAAGACACCUUACGAAAGUAAAGCAACGUCUUUUAUGAAAGUAAAACUAUUAUUUAUCAGGGUUACAGCUAACGCUUUAAACACUCCGCCUGGGGAGUACGGCCGCAAGGUUAAAACUUAAAGGAAUUGACGGGGACCCAUACAAGCGGUGGAGCAUGUGGUUUAAUUCGAUACAACGCGCAAAACCUUACCAGCCCUUGACAUAUUGAGAAGUAUAUCUUUAAUAGGAAAUUACUGCUAAAGACUCAAUACAGGUGUUGCAUGGCUGUCGUCAGCUCGUGUCGUAAGAUGUCAGGUUAGGUCCAUAAACGAGCGCAACCCUUAUUCUUAGUUGCUAACAAUUUUUUUAAUCAAUUAAAAAAAGUUGAGUACUCUAAGAAAACUGCCUGUGAUAAGCAGGAGGAAGGUGAGGAUGACGUCAAGUCCGCAUGGCCCUUAUGGGCUGGGCUACACAUGUGCUACAAUGGUAAUCACAAAGGGAAGCAAAGGUGUAAGCCUAAGCAAAUCCUAAAAAAUUAUCUAAGUUCGGAUUGCUCUCUGUAACUCGAGAGUAUGAAGUUGGAAUCGCUAGUAAUCGUGGAUCAGCACGCCACGGUGAACCUGUCUCUGGGUCUUGUACAUACCGCCCGUCAAGCUUUGGAAAUUGUCCCU
rnacentral:rRNA from 1 species